GAUGAACGCUGACAGAAUGCUUAACACAUGCAAGUCGAUUCGAUUUACCUUCGGGUAUUGAGGAUGGCGGACGGGUGAGUAACGCGUAAGGAACUUGCCUCUUGGUCUGGGACAACUGUUGGAAACGACAGCUAAUACCGGAUAUUAUGAGAUUCUCGCAUGGGAAACUUAUGAAAGCUAUAUGCGCCAAGAGAGAGCCUUGCGUUCCAUUAGCUAGUUGGUGGGGUAACGGCCCACCAAGGCGACGAUGGAUAGCCGGCCUGAGAGGGUGAACGGCCACAAGGGGACUGAGACACGGCCCUUACUCCUACGGGAGGCAGCAGUGGGGAAUAUUGGACAAUGGGCCACAAGCCUGAUCCAGCAAUUCUGUGUGCACGAUGAAGGUCUUCGGAUUGUAAAGUGCUUUCAGUUGGGAAGAAGAAAGUGACGGUACCAACAGAAGAAGCGACGGCUAAAUACGUGCCAGCAGCCGCGGUAAUACGUAUGUCGCAAGCGUUAUCCGGAUUUAUUGGGCGUAAAGCGCGUCUAGGCGGAAAAAUAAGUCUGAUGUUAAAAUGCGGGGCUCAACUCCGUAUUGCGUUGGAAACUGUUUUUCUAGAGUACUGGAGAGGUGGGCGGAACUACAAGUGUAGAGGUGAAAUUCGUAGAUAUUUGUAGGAAUGCCGAUGGAGAAGUCAGCUCACUGGACAGAUACUGACGCUAAAGCGCGAAAGCGUGGGGAGCAAACAGGAUUAGAUACCCUGGUAGUCCNCGCCGUAAACGAUGAUCACU
rnacentral:rRNA from 1 species